CGGAGGAAAAGAAACCAACAGGGAUUGCCCUAGUAACGGCGAGUGAAGCGGCAACAGCUCAAAUUUGAAAUCUGGCUCCUUUGGUGCCCGAGUUGUAAUUUGCAGAGGGUGCUUUGGUGUUGGCUGUGGUCCAAGUUCCCUGGAACAGGACGUCACAGAGGGUGAGAACCCCGUACGUGGCCGCCAGUCUUCGCCGUGUAAAGCCCCUUCGACGAGUCGAGUUGUUUGGGAAUGCAGCUCUAAAUGGGAGGUAAAUUCCUUCUAAAGCUAAAUAUUGGCCAGAGACCGAUAGCGCACAAGUAGAGUGAUCGAAAGAUGAAAAGCACUUUGGAAAGAGAGUGAAAUAGCACGUGAAAUUGUUGAAAGGGAAGCGCUUGGAGCCAGACGUGCCCGUAGUUGCUCAGCCGGGGUUCUCCCCGGUGCACUCUUCUGCGGGCAGGCCAGCAUCAGUUUGGGCGGUUGGACAAAGGCCUGCUAAACGUACCUCCCCCCGGGGAGGACUUAUAGGGUAGGCGGCAUACGACCAGCCCGGACUGAGGACCGCGCAUCUGCUAGGAUGCUGGCGUAAUGGCUGUAAGCGGCCCGUCUUGAAACACGGACCAAGGAGUCUAACAUCUAUGCGAGUGUUUGGGUGUCAAGCCCGAGCGCGCAAUGAAAGUGAACGCAGGUGGGAGCCUCUCGGGGCGCACCAUCGACCGAUCCUGAUGUCUUCGGAAGGAUUUGAGUAAGAGCAUAGCUGUUGGGACCCGAAAGAUGGUGAACUAUGCCUGAAUAGGGUGAAGCCAGAGGAAACUCUGGUGGAGGCUCGCAGCGGUUCUGACGUGCAAAUCGAUCGUCAAAUUUGGGCAUAGGGGCGAAAGACUAAUCGA
rnacentral:rRNA from 1 species